GACGAACGCUGGCGGCGUGCUUAACACAUGCAAGUCGAACGGAAAGGCCCUGCUUUUGUGGGGUGCUCGAUUGGCGAACGGGUGAGUAACACGUGAGUAACCUGCCCUUGACUUUGGGAUAACUUCAGGAAACUGGGGCUAAUACCGGAUAGGAGCUCCUGCUGCAUGUUGGGGGUUGGAAAGUUUCGGCGGUUGGGGAUGGACUCGCGGCUUAUCAGCUUGUUGGUGGGGUAGUGGCUUACCAAGGCUUUGACGGGUAGCCGGCCUGAGAGGGUGACCGGCCACAUUGGGACUGAGCUACGGCCCAGACUCCUACGGGAGGCAGGAGUGGGGAAUAUUGCACGAUGGGCGGAAGCAUGAUGCAGCAACGCCGCGUGCGGGAUGACGGCCUUCGGGUUGUAAACCGCUUUCGCCUGUGACGAAGCGUGAGUGACGGUAAUGGGUAAAGAAGCACCGGCUAACUACGUG
rnacentral:rRNA from 1 species